GAUGAACGCUAGCGAUAGGCUUAACACAUGCCAGUCGAGGGGCAGCAUGGUCUUAGCUUGCUAAGGCUGAUGGCGACCGGCGCACGGGUGCGUAACGCGUAUGCAACUUGCCUCACAGAGGGGGAUAACCCGUCGAAAGACGGACUAAUACCGCGUACACUCUAUGUUGGGCAUCCAAUGUAGAGGAAAUGAAAUUCGCUGUGAGAUAGGCAUGCGUCCCAUUAGCUAGUUGGUGAGGUAACGGCUCACCAAGGCGACGAUGGGUAGGGGAACUGAGAGGUUGAACCCCCACACUGGUACUGAGACACGGACCAGACUCCUACGGGAGGCAGCAGUGAGGAAUAUUGGUCAAUGGGCGAGAGCCUGAACCAGCCAAGUCGCGUGAAGGAUGACUGUCUUAUGGAUUGUAAACUUCUUUUAUACGGGAAUAACAAGAGUCACGUGUGGCUCCCUGCAUGUACCGUAUGAAUAAGCAUCGGCUAACUCCGUG
rnacentral:rRNA from 1 species